ensembl:lncRNA
GUACGUGCAGUGGCGUGAUGGGUCAGGAAACAGCGCUAUGGAGAGGGAGUCCUAGGAGGGCCCUCCAGACCAUUUCAUCCCCUCGUUUAUUGUGGCCCUUCAUUUCCUUCUGGCGAGGGACUCCCUCUGCUCCUACAGCGCUUACCCUUCAUGCUUCUGCCCGUGGCGUGGGGAGGGGGACGUUGUGCACAGAUAUCAAAGGGCAGAGGACGGUCUGCGCUGUGGGGCCAGGCAGCAGUUCAGAGCACCCCAAGUCCAGCAGCGCUUCCCCCCACUGAAGAACACCCCCAGAAGGGGGAGAAAGCGCAGCCAGGAAAAAUCUCCAGCAAGGAGACAAGCAAAGAGAUUGCUUCCCGCCUUCCUCGAGCAGAGAAUGGGAGGACAAUGGCCCCACCAGCAGAGAUAGCAGUGCCCACUGUCCAGUCACUACGGGCAAGACAGGUCCUGGGAACCUUGGAGUCCUACAAGGUGUGCCGGGAAGGAUGGAGGAAGAAGGUGGAGGAAAACAGGCUCCUUCCUGCCAGACCCAAGGAGCGCCUCUGCUUUGUGAAGAAGAUGGAGCUCCAGGAGGCCAGAGGAAAACACAAGAACAUGUGAGAGCACACCACGGGCUCACAGUUCAGCCAAUUCCUACCGCGCCCACUCACACCGUGGCAAUAAACAACGAAGCCCCAGGAUUGACAGCAGUGGGGCUGAGAGGAGGCACACUGAUACAGGAGCUGCCUCCCUUGUUACCACCAUUGUCUCUGCUGUAACAGCAAAGCAGAGCCAUUCUUAGUACAAGAAGUGCCAAAUAAACAUCCUUGG